rnacentral:misc_RNA from 1 species
GCUUGAACUUGUGUCCUCAAUGCCUGAAUUGCAUUCAACACUGCGAUUUGUAGCACUGGAUGCUGGAGAAGCUUUCACACUUUCUUCCCUUCCAAUCUCUGGAGGACACUCGCAAAUGUCUGAACAGCAAGUACUACGACCCAGAUCAUUAUUGACUUUUCCACCACACGGAUUGGAAAUGCUGGAGACAAGAGCUGAAUCCUGCUUUACUUUCUUUUUCACA